CCUACGGGAGGCAGCAGUGGGGAAUCUUGCGCAAUGGGCGAAAGCCUGACGCAGCAACGCCGCGUGCGGGAUGAAGGCCUUCGGGCUGUAAACCGCUUUCAGCAGGAACGAAAAUGACGGUACCUGCAGAAGAAGGAGCGGCCAACUACGUGCCAGCAGCCGCGGUGACACGUAGGCUCCAAGCGUUGUCCGGAUUUAUUGGGCGUAAAGAGCUCGUAGGCGGUUGAGUAAGUCGGGUGUGAAAACUCUGGGCUUAACCCGGAGACGCCAUCCGAUACUGCUCUGACUAGAGUUCAGGGGGGGAGUGGGGAAUUCCUAGUGUAGCGGUGAAAUGCGCAGAUAUUAGGAGGAACACCGGUGGCGAAGGCGCCACUCUGGACUGAAACUGACGCUGAGGAGCGAAAGCAUGGGUAGCAAACAGGAUUAGAUACCCUGGUAGUCCAUGCCGUAAACGGUGGGCACUAGGUGUGGGUUCCAACUAACGGGAUCCGCGCCGUCGCUAACGCAUUAAGUGCCCCGCCUGGGGAGUACGGUCGCAAGACUAAAACUCAAAGGAAUUGACGG
rnacentral:rRNA from 1 species